rnacentral:lncRNA from 1 species
AUCACAUCCCAACCCAGAAUCACAGUCAAAUCUGGUCCUUCGCUCGCUCGUCUGUUUGAUUAAUUGUUGGUUGGUUGGUUGGCCUGGCAGUGACAAAGUCAGUGGGUAUCCAUCGUCGUCCGCUCUUUUCCGCUGCGUGCCGACGAUCUGCUCAGCGCAGAGCGACCAGGAAGCAACGACUUUGAAUGUCGCCCAACGGAGUCCCCCCUCCCCUCCUCACCCCCCGGUUAGCUGCGAUGGGCCCCCGCUGGGGCAGUGCCCAUGCCGAGAUUGCAUCGACUACGCAACAUCGGGCUGCGACAUAAGCUCUGCCUACUACAAGCCCAUUCUUCUAAUGUGGCGCACCGGGGCUGUUGCGGGCUGAGAGAGGGCACCAGCCUGCUUCUGCUGCUCCUGCUGCUUUGGCAGCGGCGGUGGGCUUUUCUCCACUGCAGACGCGGAUUCUCGCAUCCGUCGCCAACGCUGCACAUGCAGCUUCUGGCAUGUCGGGUCGUAGCAC